rnacentral:rRNA from 1 species
CCCUUAGAUGUUCUGGGCUGCACGCGCGCUACAAUGGCGUUUUCAAAAAGAUUGCUAAUCCGAAAGUACCAGCGGAUCUUCGAAGUGGCGUCGUGAUCGGGACAGUUGAUUGCAAUUAUUCGACUCGAACGAGGAAUUCCUUGUAAUCGUGCGUCAUCAGCGCACGCUGAAUACGUCCCUGUUCUUUGUACACACCGCCCGUCGCUCCUACCGAUCGAGCGAUCCAAUGAAUGUUUCGGAGCGGAACUGGGAUGCUAAUGCGUCUCUUUUACGCGAAUUUGUGUGAAUUUGAUCGCUUAGAGGAAGGAGAAGUCGUAACA